CCGUGCGAAGGUAGCGUAAUCACUUGUCUUUUAAAUAGAGACUAGUAUGAACGGCAUCACGAGGACUUAACUGUCUCCCCCCUCCAAUCAGUGAAACUGAUCUCCACGUACAAAAGCGGGGAUAAUUUCAUAAGACGAGAAGACCCUAUGGAGCUUUAAACCAAAGACCACUUGUUUAACCUGCUAUAUUAAUUUAGUACUAAAAUAACAAGCCUGAUUCAGGUUUUCAGUUGGGGUGACUGUGGAGAAAAACAAAUCCUCCAUGAAGAUUAAUGCUUUGAACAACCGUUCUAAGCAUUAGCAAGCCUAACUUUACUUGAUCCAAUAUUUUGAUCAACGGACCAAGUUACCCUAGGGAUAACAGCGCAAUCCACUUCAAGAGUCCAUAUCGACAAGUGGGUUU
rnacentral:rRNA from 1 species